rnacentral:rRNA from 1 species
AUUGAACGCUGGCGGCAGGCCUAACACAUGCAAGUCGAGCGGAGCGGCGGACGGGUUAGUAAUGUCUGGGAAACUGCCUGAUGGAGGGGGAUAACUACGCGACAGCGUAGCUAAUACCGCAUACUCUUGGAGCGGCCGAUAUAGGAUUAGCUAGUUGGGGGGGUAACGGCUCACCAAGGCGACGAUCCGUAGCUGGUUUGAGAGGACGACCAGCCACACUGGGACUGAGACACGGCCCAGACUCCUACGGGAGGCAGCAGUGGGGAAUUUUGGACAAUGGGGGAAACCCUGAGCCAGCCAUCCCGAGUGUGCGAUGAAGGCCUUCGGGUUGUAAAGCACUUUUGGCAGGAAAGCGGUACCUGCAGAAUAAGCACCGGCUAACUACGUGCCAGCAGCCGCGGUAAUAC